AGUGACCAUGGGAUAGCACUGUUCCAAGUGUCUAUUAUCAGAAAUGAACACACCCAUCUUCUGCUUUGGAUUGGACGCUACAGGCACACCUCAUCAGGCAUUAUUCCAUACCCAUAAUUCCUCAAAUAUGUUUCACCAAACCCUGGCACUGAAGUACUUCAACAACAACAGUCGGUCAGCUGGCAGAAAGGUCUUGGAUUCAUGUUAA
ensembl:lncRNA